rnacentral:rRNA from 1 species
CAUAGGUGGCAAGCGUUGUCCGGAAUUAUUGGGCGUAAAGCGCGCGCAGGCGGCUUCUUAAGUCCAUCUUAAAAGUGCGGGGCUUAACCCCGUGAUGGGAUGGAAACUGAGAGGCUGGAGUAUCGGAGAGGAAAGUGGAAUUCCUAGUGUAGCGGUGAAAUGCGUAGAGAUUAGGAAGAACACCGGUGGCGAAGGCGACUUUCUGGACGACAACUGACGCUGAGGCGCGAAAGCGUGGGGAGCAA